UUGUGAGGUUAAGCGACUAAGCGUACACGGUGGAUGCCCUGGCAGUCAGAGGCGAUGAAGGGCGUACUAAUCUGCGAUAAGCGCCGGUAAGGUGAUAUGAACCGUUAUAACCGGCGAUACCCGAAUGGGGAAACCCAGUGUGAUUCGUCACACUAUCAUUAACUGAAUCCAUAGGUUAAUGAGGCGAACCGGGGGAACUGAAACAUCUAAGUACCCCGAGGAAAAGAAAUCAACCGAGAUUCCCCCAGUAGCGGCGAGCGAACGGGGAGGAGCCCAGAGCCUGAAUCAGCAUGUGUGUUAGUGGAAGCGUCUGGAAAGGCGCGCGAUACAGGGUGACAGCCCCGUACACAAAAGCGCAUGUGCUGUGAGCUCGAUGAGUAGGGCGGGACACGUGGUAUCCUGUCUGAAUAUGGGGGGACCAUCCUCCAAGGCUAAAUACUCCUGACUGACCGAUAGUGAACCAGUACCGUGAGGGAAAGGCGAAAAGAACCCCGGCGAGGGGAGUGAAAAAGAACCUGAAACCGUGU
rnacentral:rRNA from 1 species